rnacentral:misc_RNA from 1 species
GAUGAAGAACGCAGUGAAAUGCGAUAAGUAAUGUGAAUUGCAGAAUUCAGUGAAUCAUCGAAUCUUUGAACGCACAUUGCGCCCCUUGGUAUUCCGAGGGGCAUGCCUGUUCGAGCGUCAUAUUAACCACUCCCGCUUGCGGGGUCUUGGGCUUCGCCUCCGGGCGGGCCUUAAAAUCAGUGGCGGUGCCGUCGGGCUCUACGCGUAGUAAAUUUUCUCGCGAUAGGGUCCCGGUGGAUGCUUGCCAACAACCCCCAACUUCUUAAGGUUGACCUCGGAUCAGGUAGGGAUACCCGCUGAACUUAAGCAUAUCAAUAAGCGGAGGA